rnacentral:rRNA from 1 species
UGGGGAAUUUUGGACAAUGGGCGAAAGCCUGAUCCAGCAAUGCCGCGUGUGUGAAGAAGGCCUUCGGGUUGUAAAGCACUUUUGUCCGGAAAGAAAUCCUUGGCUCUAAUACAGUCGGGGGAUGACGGUACCGGAAGAAUAAGCACCGGCUAACUACGUGCCAGCAGCCGCGGUAAUACGUAGGGUGCAAGCGUUAAUCGGAAUUACUGGGCGUAAAGCGUGCGCAGGCGGUUUGCUAAGACCGAUGUGAAAUCCCCGGGCUCAACCUGGGAACUGCAUUGGUGACUGGCAGGCUAGAGUAUGGCAGAGGGGGUAGAAUUCCACGUGUAGCAGUGGAAAUGCGUAGAGAUGUGGAGGAAUACCGAUGGCGAAGGCAGCCCCUGGGCCAAUACUGACGCUCAUGCACGAAAGCGUGGGGAGCAAACAGGAUUAGAUACCCU